UGAGCCGGAAUGGCGACCAGCCUGCCAAGCUGGGAACCGAAGAGCGCUGCAGCCGAUCCUCUACUCCCUCCCCGCCGAUAGGAAAAAGGAACUCAUCCUCUGGGCCGCCGAUGUGGCUGGAGACGCGUAGCCAACAAUUCCAGGCGAACACAGGCCACAUGUGACACGGUCGAUAAGACCAGCCCUCUUCUACUCGGCCCUGAACUGUUCCAAUCAAGCAGGAAUUCUCCUCAUCACUGAGAAGGUGCUGGAAGCUACGGG